rnacentral:rRNA from 1 species
UACGAAGGGGGCUAGCGUUGCUCGGAAUUACUGGGCGUAAAGGGCGCGUAGGCGGACAGUUUAGUCAGAGGUGAAAGCCCAGGGCUCAACCUUGGAAUUGCCUUUGAUACUGACUGUCUUGAGUACGGGAGAGGUGUGUGGAACUCCGAGUGUAGAGGUGAAAUUCCUAGAUAUUCGGAAGAACACCAGUGGCGAAGGCGACACACUGGCCCGUUACUGACGCUGAGGCUCGAAAGCGUGGGGAGCAAACAGG